rnacentral:pre_miRNA from 1 species
AUUGGGAGGGAGGGUUCCCCUCAGCCCGGAUUGCAAGAGGGCGCAGGACAGGCCGAGGGAUCCCACCCGUGCAUG